rnacentral:rRNA from 1 species
AGGGUUUGAUCCUGGCUCAGGAUGAACGCUAGCGGCAGGCUUAACACAUGCAAGUCGAGGGGUAACAGGGAUUGCUUGCAAUCCGCUGACGACCGGCGCACGGGUGCGUAACGCGUAUGCAACCUACCUUCUACAGGGGAAUAGUCAAUAGAAAUGUUGAAUAAUACCCCAUACGAUCUUUGAAUAGCAUUAUUUAGAGAAGAAAGUUCCGGCGGUAGAAGAUGGGCAUGCGUCCUAUUAGUUAGUUGGAGAGGUAAUGGCUCCCCAAGACAUCGAUAGGUAGGGGUCCUGAGAGGGAGACCCCCCACACUGGUACUGAGACACGGACCAGACUCCUACGGGAGGCAGCAGUGAGGAAUAUUGGACAAUGGAGGCAACUCUGAUCCAGCCAUGCCGCGUGCAGGAAGACUGCCCUAUGGGUUGUAAACUGCUUUUAUACAGGAAGAAAUGUACCUACGUGUAGGUAUUUGACGGUACUGUACGAAUAAGGAUCGGCUAACUCCGUGCCAGCCGCCGCGGUAAUUC